rnacentral:rRNA from 1 species
AGCAGCCGCGGUAAUUCCAGCUCCAAUAGCGUAUAUUAAAGUUGUUGCAGUUAAAAAGCUCGUAGUUGAAUUUCGAGAUCGGCUUACUGGUCGUGCUUUUGUACGUACUGGUAAAUCGGUUUCUCCUUUCUGACGAACUUUAAUGCCAUUAAUUUGGUGUUUUAGGGAAUCAGGACUGUUACUUUGAAAAAAUUAGAGUGUUUAAAGCAGGCUCACGCUUGAAUACAUUAGCAUGGAAUAACGGAAUAGGACGUUUGAUUUUAUUUUGUUGGUUUCUAGGAUCGACGUUAAUGAUUAAUAGGGAUAGUUGGGGGCAUUAGUAUUCAAUUGUCAGAGGUGAAAUUCUUGGAUUUAUUGAAGACUAACUACUGCGAAAGCAUUUGCCAAGGAUGUUUUCAUUAAUCAAGAACGAAAGUUAGGGGAUCGAAGACGAUCAGAUACCGUCGUAGUCUUAACCAUAAACUAUGCCGACUAGGGAUCGGAUGAUGUUAAUUUUUAAUGACUCAUUCGGCGCCUUACG